CAAAUGUUGGCAGACAUCGAUAUGUUUGUGCCAAUGGUCAAGCUUGCAGACAUAAUUUCUCAAUGGAUGAAUACAGUUUAUACUCUGAGUUUUGAAUAUAUUUCACAGAAUAUAACUGGACCUGACUGGAUAGGAGUCCAGCAUGGGUGGGACUUAUUUUAUGUUUUUGGAAUUCCAACAGUUGGCCAUCCAAUGUUUUCCUAUACGUCACGUGAUGCCAACGUUUCCAAAACGACCAUGAACAUUAUUGGUGAAUUUGUUAAAAGAGGACACUGGAAAUCGGAUAAUAUGGAGUUAGAAAUCUACAAUCCUGACACGAAAUCGUACAAUAAACUGGAUUAUGUCAAUGGUCAAACAGUUGUUACACAAGAAGUCAAUUAUAAACAACCAAGAACAGAUUUUUGGUACAAAUAUUUAUUUCCGUUCAACUUUACAUGUUGAAGGCAAAUUGACAAUGUAAUAUAGGAAAAAGGGAUGGCAAGAAAAAGAAUAGAAGGAUAAACUUCAACUCUACUAAUUUAAUUACUCAUUAUCCGUUGUAGGUACUGACGUUGCUUAUCGUCUUUAUUACCUGUUAUAGUGUUCUUUUAUUUGUCUUUGUAAAGUAUUAACCUGCACUGUUUAGUCCAUUUUUGGUAAUAUCCUUUUGGCGUGGCUCGGUACUUAUGCAUCCCGCCAUUGUGUUGUUGUGCUGUGGUCAUUUUUUGUAUUCUUGUCUUUCGUUUUUGCUUAUGUGCUUUGUCUAUAUGCCAUUUUGUUUUUCUUUGUUAACAUAUUUGUUUGUUUGUAUAGUGAUUAAGAUUAUAACACAGUGUUGACUGUUGUACCCCUAUUUUUGACAAUUUUACCUAUUGUGUCUGCUUGUUUUGCUCACACAUUGUUGUCAGUAUACAAGUGAGAGGGUUAGCUAGCUAUAAAACCAGGUUUAAUCCACCAUUUUCUACAUAAAGAAAUGCCUGUACCAAUUCAGGAAUAUGACAGUUGUUUUCAAUUCGUUUGAUGUGUUUGAGGUUUUGAUUUUGCCAUUUGAUAAGGGACUUUGCGAUUUGAAUUUUCCUUGGAGUUCGGUUUAUUUGUUAUUUUACUUUGUACCAAUGUCUGUAUUCAGACAUGUAGCAAUGCAGCUAAGAACAAACGAAGAAGCUUUAUGCUGAAAUUAAGCAAGUUGUAACUGUUUUAUUAUUUCGUUUGAUCAAUCUGAUAUUAAAUUUAGCUGUGCUUAAUUAAUGAAUAAAAUACUACCAUGCAAUAACGUAAAACAUGUGCAUGUUUAUAAUAUGUUUCCUUCUUGAUGUUGUUGGACAAAUAAAUAUUCAAAUAUAAUUUUCUA